AGUGAACGCUGGCGGUAGGCCUAACACAUGCAAGUCGAACGGCAGCACAGUAGGAGCUUGCUCUUACGGGUGGCGAGUGGCGGACGGGUGAGGAAUACAUCGGAAUCUACUUUUUCGUGGGGGAUAACGUAGGGAAACUUACGCUAAUACCGCAUACGACCUACGGGUGAAAGCAGGGGUCUUCGGACCUUGCGCGAUUGAAUGAGCCGAUGUCGGAUUAGCUAGUUGGCGGGGUAAAGGCCCACCAAGGCGACGAUCCGUAGCUGGUCUGAGAGGAUGAUCAGCCACACUGGAACUGAGACACGGUCCAGACUCCUACGGGAGGCAGCAGUGGGGAAUAUUGGACAAUGGGCGCAAGCCUGAUCCAGCCAUACCGCGUGGGUGAAGAAGGCCUUCGGGUUGUAAAGCCCUUUUGUUGGGAAAGAAAAGCAGCAGGUUAAUACCCCGCUGUUCUGACGGUACCCAAAGAAUAAGCACCGGCUAACUUCGUG
rnacentral:rRNA from 1 species